rnacentral:sRNA from 1 species
UGUAUGGGAAGGUUAAUGAUGCCUGUAC